rnacentral:rRNA from 1 species
UAUAUAAAGUCUGACCUGCCCACUGAAAAUUUUAAAUGGCUGCAGUAAUUUGACUGUACAAAGGUAGCAUAAUCAUUAGUUUUUUAAUUAAAAGCUUGUAUGAAAGGUUGGACGAAGUAAAAUCUGUCUCUUUUUAAUAUAAUUAGAAUUUAAUUUUUAAGUAAAAAAGCUUAAAUUUUUAUAAAAGACGAGAAGACCCUAUAGAGUUUAAUAAUUUUAAUAAAAUAUUUAAUUAAGAUUUAUUAAUUUUAUUUAAUUAAAAUUAUUUUAUUGGGGUAAUAAAAAGAUUAAAAAAAUUCUUUUUUUUUAAUACAUUAAUUUAUGAAUAUAUGAUCCAUUUGUAAUGAUUAAAAGAUUAAAUUACCUUAGGGAUAACAGCGUAAUUUUUUUAAAGAGUUCUUAUCGAUAAAAAAGUUUGCGACCUCGAUGUUGGAUUAAAGAUUAAUUUAGGUGUAGAAGUUUAAAUUUUUGGUCUGUUCGACCAUUAAAUCUUUACAUGAUCUGAGUUCAAACCGGUGUAAGCCAGGUUGGUUUCUAUCUUUAUUAAUUUUUUAUAUUUUAGUACGAAAGGACCAAAUAUAAAAUAUAUAAAUAUUUUUAUUUUGAAUAUUAUU